ensembl:misc_RNA Metazoa_SRP Metazoan signal recognition particle RNA
GCCAGGUGCAGUGGUGCAUUCCUGUAGUCCCAGCUACUUGAGAGGCUGAGGCAGGAGGAUCACUCGAGCCCAGGAGGUCAAGGCUGCAGUGAGCUGUGAUUGCACCACUGCACUCUAGCCUGGGCGACAGAGUGAGACCCUGUCUCAA